AUGCUUACUUCAGCAGCAUAUAGACUAAGAAUUGGAAUGAUACAGAGAAGAUUAGCAUGGCCCCUGCACAAGGAUGGCAUGCAGAUUUGUGCUGCAUUCCAUAAAGGG
rnacentral:snRNA from 1 species